rnacentral:lncRNA from 1 species
AUGAGCAAAGCUCACCCUCCCGAGUUGAAAAAAUCUAUGGACAAGAAGUUGUCAUUGAAAUUAAAUGGUGGCAGACAUGUCCAAGGAAUAUUGUGGUCAUUUGGUCCCUUUAUGAAUCUUGUGAUAGAUGAAUGUGUGGAGAUGGCGACUGGUGGGCAACAGAACAAUAUUGGAAUGGUGGUAAUAGGAAAUAGUAUCAUCAUGUUAGAAGCCUUGGAACGAGUA